rnacentral:rRNA from 1 species
UACAGAGGGUGCGAGCGUUAAUCGGAGUUACUGGGCGUAAAGGGCGCGUAGGCGGAUGAUUAAGUCAGUUGUGAAAGCCCAGGGCUCAACCUUGGAACUGCAAUUGAUACUGGUCAUCUAGAGUCGAAGAGAGGGAAGCGGAAUUUCCGGUGUAGCGGUGAAAUGCGUAGAUAUCGGAAGGAACACCCGUGGCGAAGGCGGCUUCCUGGCUUCAGACUGACGCUGAGGCGCGAAAGCGUGGGGAGCGAAC